GAUGAAAGAACGCAGCGAAAUGCGAUAAGUAAUGUGAAUUGCAGAAUUCAGUGAAUCAUCGAAUCUUUGAACGCAUCUUGCGCUCCUUGGUAUUCUGAGGAGCAUGCCUGUUUGAGUGUCAUUAAAUUCUCAACCACACUGAUUAUGAUUAGUGUGGCUUGGAUAUGGGUGUUGUGGGCUUCUGUAGUCCGCUCCCCUGAAAUUAAUUAGCAGUACUUUUGGUGGAACUGUCUACAGGUGUGAUAAUUAUCUACAUCCUAGACAUCUGCUGCACUGCUUUCCAAACUUGUAUUGACAAUCUUGACCUCAAAUCAGGUAGGACUACCCGCUGAACUUAAGCAUAUCAAUAAGCGGAGGA
rnacentral:misc_RNA from 1 species